AAGUCGUAACAAGGUUUCCGUAGGUGAACCUGCGGAAGGAUCAUUAAAAAGGUUUAGUGGUAUUAUUUUUUAUUAUUUUAUAAUAAAAAAUUAUUACAACACUUUUUUAUUAAUUAAUAUAUAUUAAAUUAAAUAUAUAUAUAAAAUUAAUUUUAUAUAUUAAUUUAAUUUAAUUUAUAUUAAUUAAAUCUUGAAUAAAAAACAUGGUGGAAAUGAUUACUUCCACCAUAAUAAAUAAAAAAGUGUUUAUCGUUAAAAUUAAAAUAUAAAUUUAUUAUUAAUAUUAGUUUUAUGAAUAUUUAAAAUUUUAUUUAUUUAUUAUAAAUAAAAAAUUAACUUAAUAUAACUUUUAACAAUGGAUCUCUUGGCUCUUA
rnacentral:misc_RNA from 1 species